rnacentral:rRNA from 1 species
AACGAACGCUGGCGGCGUACUUAACACAUGCAAGUCGGACGAGAAAGGAGACUUCGGUCUCUGAGUAAAGUGGCGUACGGGUGCGUAACACGUAAGUAAUCUACCCCGAACUCUGGGAUAACCCUCCGAAAGGAGGGCUAAUACCAGAUAGGGUCCCCGAGGUGUAGGCUGCGGGGGGAAAACGGGCCUCUGCUUCAUGCUCGUGGUUCGGGAUGAGCUUGCGGCCCAUUAGCUUGUUGGUAGGGUAAUGGCUUACCAAGGCGACGAUGGGUAGCUGGUCUGAGAGGAUGAUCAGCCACACUGGCACUGAGACACGGGCCAGACUCCUACGGGAGGCAGCAGUGGGGAAUUUUGCGCAAUGGGCGAAAGCCUGACGCAGUAACGCCGUGUGGAGGAUGAAGGCCUUCGGGUUGUAAACUCCUGUCGGGGGGAACGACGGAGAAAGGGUGAUAAACCCUUUCCUCCAGACGGUACCUCCAAAGGAAGCCCCGGCUAAUUCCGUGC